GAUGAACGCUGGCGGCGCGCCUAACACAUGCAAGUCGAACGAUUAAAGCACCUUCGGGUGUGUAUAAAGUGGCGAACGGCUGAGUAACACGUGGGCAACCUGCCCCUUUCAUUGGGAUAGCCACGGGAAACCGUGGAUAAUACCGAAUACUUCGAGACUUCCGCAUGGAAGACUCGAGAAAGCUCCGGCGGAGAGGGAUGGGCCCGCGGCCUGUUAGCUUGUUGGUGGGGUAACGGCCUACCAAGGCAAUGAUGGGUAGCUGGGUUGAGAGACCGACCAGCCAGAUUGGGACUGAGACACGGCCCAGACUCCUACGGGAGGCAGCAGUGGGGAAUCUUGCACAAUGGGCGAAAGCCUGAUGCAGCGACGCCGCGUGCGGGAUGAAGGCCUUCGGGUUGUAACCCGCUUUCAGCAGGGACGAGGCGAAAGUGACGGUACCUGCAGAAGAAGCCCCGGCUAACUACGUG
rnacentral:rRNA from 1 species